UGCGUAGGGACCAAGCGUUGUUCGGAUUUACUGGGCGUAAAGGGCGCGUAGGCGGCCAUUCAAGUCAGCUGUGAAAUCUCCGGGCUUAACUCGGAACGGUCAGCUGAUACUGCUUUGCUAGAGUGCAGAAGGGGCAAUCGGAAUUCUUGGUGUAGCGGUGAAAUGCGUAGAUACCAAGAGGAACACCUGAGGUGAAGACGGGUUGCUGGGCUGACACUGACGCUGAGGCGCGAAAGCUAGGGUAGCAAACGGG
rnacentral:rRNA from 1 species